GAUGAAGAACGUAGUGAAAUGCGAUAACUAGUGUGAAUUGCAGAAUUCCGUGAAUCAUCGAGUCUUUGAACGCACAUUGCGCCCCCUGGUAUUCCGGGGGGCAUGCCUGUCCGAGCGUCAUUGCUGCCCAUCAAGCACGGCUUGUGUGUUGGGUCGUCGUCCCCUCUCCGGGGGGGACGGGCCCCAAAGGCAGCGGCGGCACCGCGUCCGAUCCUCGAGCGUAUGGGGCUUUGUCACCCGCUCUGUAGGCCCGGCCGGCGCUUGCCGAACGCAAAUCAAUCUUUUUCCAGGUUGACCUCGGAUCAGGUAGGGAUACCCGCUGAACUUAAGCAUAUCAAUAAGCGGUGGA
rnacentral:misc_RNA from 1 species